rnacentral:rRNA from 1 species
UACGGAGGGUGCGAGCGUUAUUCGGAAUUACUGGGCGUAAAGCGCGUGUAGGCGGCAGGGCAAGUCUGGUGUGAAAGCCCGGGGCUCAACCCCGGAAGUGCAUUGGAAACUGCUCUGCUUGAGUACCGGAGAGGAAGGGGGAAUUCCCGGUGUAGCGGUGAAAUGCGUAGAUAUCGGGAGGAAUACCGGUGGCGAAAGCGGCUCUCUGGACUGUAACUGACACUGAGGCUCGAAAGCGUGGGUAGCAAACAGG